GGCAACGUUGAAACACCGGUUCCCGUACGAUCACCGUUGUUAAGCAACGUCGAACCUGGCCAGUUCUUAGAUGGGUGACCGCAUGGGAAUACCAGGUGUUGUAAG